rnacentral:lncRNA from 1 species
UUGGAAUUCAAGAGAUUUUAGGCAGAUUGGGAAUUGCUUCUGGAUUUUUUUCAUCUGGAAAAAUUGCUCACUUGUACCUCCUUUUCCUGAGGUACCAUGUUUGCCUGUCACCGUCGUUCUGAAUUUGUCAUGUUGCUAAAUCAAAAUGGCCUCCUGAGGUUUUCCACUAGGGGCCUUGCUUCAGAAUAUUUACCCAGUGUUUAGCUCAUAAACACACUAGUGUGCUGAGCCCUCACAGACAGUGAACGGAGACCCAUGGGUCACUUCCUUCCCUCACCUCUGACACACACUCCAUAGUGCUUGAUUUUGUUCAGAAAGAUGGGGUUGGUGUCUUCAGUUUAAAAUCCAGUUCACAAAAAAGUCACUGCAGAUUGAGUAACAGGUUAGAUCUUAAUCUACAGUGUUCGGUGCUUGUUGAAGUAGGACAUCUGUCAACAAGCAAGUGCUUGCCCAGUGCACUAGCUUUAAAGGCAGCCUUCCUCAUGGGUGCUGAUAGCCCCACUUGUCACUGCAGGCUAGACAUUGUGCUAGGUACCUUGUCCCUCUGUUCCUUCAUAUUUUGUGGUGCUAAGGUUCAAACCCAGAGCCUAUGUGUGAGGCAAGUCGCCAUCAUUGAGCUACACCCCCAGCCCAUGUAUACAUUUUUUGUUGUUGUUGUUGUUUUGGUACCGGAGAUUGAACUCAGAGGCACUUGACCACUGAGCCACAUCCCCAGCCCUAUUUUGUAUUUUAUUUAGAGACAGGGUCUCAUUGAGUUGCUUAGUGCCUCAGCGCCC